GACGAACGCUGGCGGCGUGCUUAACACAUGCCAGUCGAACGGAAAGGCCCUGCUUUUGUGGGGUGCUCGAGUGGCGAACGGGUGAGUAACACGUGAGUAACCUGCCCUUGACUUUGGGAUAACUUCAGGAAACUGGGGCUAAUACCGGAUAGGAGCUCCUGCUGCAUGGUGGGGGUUGGAAAGUUUCGGCGGUUGGGGAUGGACUCGCGGCUUAUCAGCUUGUUGGUGGGGUAGUGGCUUACCAAGGCUUUGACGGGUAGCCCGCCUGAGAGGGUGACCGGCCACAUUGGGACUGAGGUACGGCGCAGACGCCUACGGGAGGCAGCAGUGGGGAAUAUGGCACAAUGGGCGGAAGCCUGAUGCAGCAACGCCGCGUGCGUGAUGACGGCCUUCGGGUUGUAAACCGCUUUCGCCUGUAACGAAGCGAGAGUGACGGUAAUGGGUAAAGAAGCACCGGCUAACUACGUG
rnacentral:rRNA from 1 species